rnacentral:rRNA from 1 species
UUCCUACGGGGGGCAGCAGUGAGGAAUAUUGGUCAAUGGGCGGGAGCCUGAACCAGCCAAGCCGCGUGAGGGAAGAAGGUACAGCGUAUCGUAAACCUCUUUUGUCAGGGAACAAAGGCGGGGACUAGUCCCCGGAUGACGGUACCUGAAGAAAAAGCUCCGGCUAACUACGUGCCAGCAGCCGCGGUAAUACGUAGGGAGCGAGCGUUGUCCGGAAUUACUGGGUGUAAAGGGAGCGUAGGCGGGACGGCAAGUCAGAUGUGAAAACUGAG